rnacentral:rRNA from 1 species
UGAUGGCGAGUGGCGAACGGGUGAGUAAUACAUCGGAACGUGCCCUGUAGUGGGGGAUAACUAGUCGAAAGAUUAGCUAAUACCGCAUACGACCUGAGGGUGAAAGUGGGGGACCGCAAGGCCUCAUGCUAUAGGAGCGGCCGAUGUCUGAUUAGCUAGUUGGUGAGGUAAAGGCUCACCAAGGCGACGAUCAGUAGCUGGUCUGAGAGGACGAUCAGCCACACUGGGACUGAGACACGGCCCAGACUCCUACGGGAGGCAGCAGUGGGGAAUUUUGGACAAUGGGCGAAAGCCUGAUCCAGCAAUGCCGCGUGUGUGAAGAAGGCCUUCGGGUUGUAAAGCACUUUUGUCCGGAAAGAAAUGGCUCUGGUUAAUACCUGGGGUCGAUGACGGUACCGGAAGAAUAAGGACCGGCUAACUACGUGCCAGCAGCCGCGGUAAUACGUAGGGUCCAAGCGUUAAUCGGAAUUACUGGGCGUAGAGCGUGCGCAGGCGGUUGUGCAAGACCGAUGUGGAAUCCCCGAGCUUAACUUGGGAAUUGCAUUGGUGACUGCACGGCUAGAGUGUGUCAGAGGGGGGUAGAAUUCCACGUGUAGCAGUGAAAUGCGUAGAGACGUGGAGGAAUACCGAUGGCGAAGGCAGCCCCCUGGGAUAACACUGACGCUCAUGCACGA